rnacentral:rRNA from 1 species
GACGAACGCUGGCGGCGUGCUUAACACAUGCAAGUCGAACGGUAAGGCCCUUUCGGGGGUACACGAGUGGCGAACGGGUGAGUAACACGUGGGUGAUCUGCCCUGCACUUUGGGAUAAGCCUGGGAAACUGGGUCUAAUACCGGAUAGGACUACGCGAUGCAUGUCGUGUGGUGGAAAGCUGUUGCGGUGUGGGAUGGGCCCGCGGCCUAUCAGCUUGUUGGUGGGGUGAUGGCCUACCAAGGCGACGACGGGUAGCCGGCCUGAGAGGGUGUCCGGCCACACUGGGCCUGCGAUACGGCCCAGACUCCUACGGGAGGCAGCAGUGGGGAAUAUUGCACAAUGGGCGCAAGCCUGAUGCAGCGACGCCGCGUGGGGGAUGACGGCCUUCGGGUUGUAAACCACUUUCAGCACAGACGAAGCGUAAGUGACGGUAUGUGCAGAAGAAGCACCGGCCAACUACGUG